CUCUUCAGGGCGGGGUGAAAGUCCCCACCGGUGGUUAUAGCCCACGAGCCUUUAUGGCAGGUCCGGUGUGAUUCCGGAGCCGACGGUACAGUCCGGAUGAAAGAAGAG
rnacentral:ncRNA from 1 species